UGGAGGAUGGAGCCCUUGGUUCAACUCGUCUUGUUCGGUGUCAUGUGGAGAGGGCGUCAGAAUCCAAAACAGGACAUGUGACAAUCCUUCACCAUCUGGAAGUGGACAAAAUUGUGUUGGUUCCGAAACUGAAACAUCAAUCUGCAACUUAGGAAAAUGUCCAAAAUCAUGCAGGCAUUCAAACAAAAGAAUCCGACAACAAACAAGAAGACGAUUUGGACAAUAGAGCAGGAAAAAAACAGCGAAAAAAGAAAGACAAGAACCCAAAAAGAAAGAACAACAUUAAUUUGUUUAAUUGAAAUCAACCACAUAUUGAAAUAGUGUUGAUUGAAAAAAACUGAGGGG